UCGAACGGUAACAGGAAGCAGCUUGCUGCUUCGCUGACGAGUGGCGGACGGGUGAGUAAUGUCUGGGAAACUGCCUGAUGGAGGGGGAUAACUACUGGAAACGGUAGCUAAUACCGCAUAACGUCGCAAGACCAAAGAGGGGGACCUUCGGGCCUCUUGCCAUCGGAUGUGCCCAGAUGGGAUUAGCUAGUAGGUGGGGUAACGGCUCACCUAGGCGACGAUCCCUAGCUGGUCUGAGAGGAUGACCAGCCACACUGGAACUGAGACACGGUCCAGACUCCUACGGGAGGCAGCAGUGGGGAAUAUUGCACAAUGGGCGCAAGCCUGAUGCAGCCAUGCCGCGUGUAUGAAGAAGGCCUUCGGGUUGUAAAGUACUUUCAGCGGGGAGGAAGGCGAUAAGGUUAAUAACCUUGUCGAUUGACGUUACCCGCAGAAGAAGCACCGGCUAACUCCGUGCCAGCAGCCGCGGUAAUACGGAGGGUGCAAGCGUUAAUCGGAAUUACUGGGCGUAAAGCGCACGCAGGCGGUCUGUCAAGUCGGAUGUGAAAUCCCCGGGCUCAACCUGGGAACUGCAUUCGAAACUGGCAGGCUAGAGUCUUGUAGAGGGGGGUAGAAUUCCAAGUGUAGCGGUGAAAUGCGUAGAGAUCUGGAGGAAUACCGGUGGCGAAGGCGGCCCCCUGGACAAAGACUGACGCUCA
rnacentral:rRNA from 1 species